CUCUUAGAUGUUCUGGGCCGCACGCGCGCUACACUGACGAAUGCAACGAGCUUAUAACCUUGGCCGAAAGGUCUGGGUAAUCUCCAAAUUUCGUCGUGAUGGGGAUAGAUUAUUGCAAUUAUUAAUCUUCAACGAGGAAUGCCUAGUAAGCGCAAGUCAUCAGCUUGCGUUGAUUACGUCCCUGCCCUUUGUACACACCGCCCGUCGCUCCUACCGAUUGAAUGGUCCGGUGAAGCGUUCGGACCGUGGCCUUUGGACGGUUCGCCGUCUGUUGGCUGCGGGAAGUUCGUUAAACCUUAUCAUUUAGAGGAAGGAGAANUCGUAACA
rnacentral:rRNA from 1 species